CAUUGGUACAUGUUAGACACAGGAAGUGAUGUAAUGAACUAUAUUUAUAUUUAUCAUCACUUCCUGUGAGAGGGACUUUGGCAGUGGGACUUGACUUGGAGGAGCUCCAGUGUGGGACCUCAGUCUGCUUCCCUUAGAUGAUCACAUGACAGGGUUCACUGGAUACUGGCAGCUGUCUCAGUCAGGAAACUCUCAGGAUACAGGAUCCUACCAGAACACGGGUAAAUGGAGGAGACCGGGAUGGACCGGAUCUCAGGAUAUCUGUGUAGCUGGAAAGCAGGAACCUCGGGCUCUCAGGGAACCGGAUGAAACGAAUUGAAUUGACCCAGAAGUGCCUGAGAACAAAGAAAACAACAAGAAAGUAAAUGAAAAUGGAAGCCUGCAUUGAGGAUAUGGGAAAAAAAAUUAAACCUGGAAAGAAAGAACAAUAAUAAAAGUAUUAUCUCCUGUUAUCA
rnacentral:lncRNA from 1 species